AUGUCCUGGAACAUCCGGGGCUUGAACUGCCCAGCUCGUCGCUCGGCAAUCCGCGAAGUAGUGCAAGCACAUAGAGUUUUGGUACUUUGUCUCCAGGGAACUAAAGUAGAAUCGUGGUCAUCGUCGCUAGCAUGUGAGGUAGGAGGCCCAAAUCUGCAGGGCUACAUUGUGUUACCGGCAAUAGGCACGAGAGGUGGCGCGGCGAUCUUCUGGGACAAGCUAGUUGUCAACAUCACCUCACAUAGGAUAGGUUGAUUCGCGAUCACGACUAGAAUAGAUCUUCUCUCCAGUAGUGUAGGAUUCUGGCUUACCACA
rnacentral:rRNA from 1 species